rnacentral:lncRNA from 1 species
AGCAGUGACGUGACACGCAGCCCACGGUCUGUACUGACGCGCCCUCGCUUCUUCCUCUUUCUCGACUCCAUCUUCGCGGUAGCUGGGACCGCCGUUCAGGUGGCCAAACAGGAGAAGAAGAAGAAGAAGACAGGUCGGGCUAAGCGGCGGAUGCAGUACAACCGGCGCUUUGUCAACGUUGUGCCCACCUUUGGCAAGAAGAAGGGCCCCAAUGCCAACUCUUAAGUCUUUUGUAAUUCUGGCUUUCUCUAAUAAAAAAGCCACUUAGUUCAGUC